UGGGGAAUAUUGCACAAUGGGGGAAACCCUGAUGCAGCGACGCCGCGUGAACGAAGAAGGUAUUCGUAUCGUAAAGUUCUGUCCUAUGGGAAGAUAAUGACAGUACCAUAGAAGAAAGCUCCGGCUAAAUACGUGCCAGCAGCCGCGGUAAUACGUAUGGAGCGAGCGUUGUCCGGAAUUAUUGGGCGUAAAGGGUACGCAGGCGGUUUAAUAAGUCGAAUGUUAAAGAUCGGGGCUCAACCCCGCAAAGCAUUGGAAACUGAUAAACUUGAGUAGUGGAGAGGAAAGUGGAAUUCAUAGUGUAGUGGUGAAAUACGUAGAUAUUAGGAGGAAUACCAGUAGCGAAGGCGACUUUCUGGACACAAACUGACGCUGAGGUACGAAAGCGUGGGGAGCAAACAGG
rnacentral:rRNA from 1 species